rnacentral:other from 1 species
UUUCCCCUGCUAUGUUCGUGAUUGGCGGGAAUUUUUUGAUUCAACACCACAAGAAAGGGGGUUUCCACUUGUCCUUGUGUGUCUAUUCAAGCACCAAAAACGAAGAAGACCUAACGGGGCAAAGAAAUGCCCACUUACGUGCUAUUGGGUUCAAGAAGAACUGCUGACACGGCAUUGAAGCGGGGGAAUU